rnacentral:lncRNA from 1 species
CCAGAAAUCCAGCAAGCCUGCAAGGCCACCCGCUUCCCCCAGCAAUGCGAAUCCUCCCUCUCCCACCUCCCUCCUAACCCAACCUCUCUCCAGCUCCUCCAAUCCGCCAUCUCCGCCACCUCCACCAACCUCGCCACCGCCCAAUCCAUGGUCAAGUCCAUCCUCGACUCCGCCUCCGGCAGCCGCAACCGCUCCGUCGCCGCCACCACCUGCCUCGAGGUCCUCGCCAACUCCCAGCACCGCAUUUCCCUCGCCAACGACUCCCUACCUCACGGCAAGAACAAAGACGCCCGAGCCUGGCUGAGCGCCGCCCUCGCCUACCAAUACGACUGCCGGAACGGCCUCAGCUACGC